rnacentral:lncRNA from 1 species
CGCCGUCCCCACGGUGCGCGCGCCUGCCGGGGCCGCGCGGGGAGGCGCGGCGGAGGGGCCCCUGCACCUCGUAGGUCCUUUCGCCUCCCGAACAAACUCCGUCCCAGGAAAUUGCACAGAGACGUGCGGCCGAACCUGAUGCCGCCAGAUCUCCAUCCGGAAAAAACAGAUGAGAUGAUGAAGCCUCAAAGAAGUUAGAUGACUGUCUACAAUGCCUGCACCAGGAGGAUAUUAUUCUACAAAUAAGGGCCCAGCGUGACAUUUAUGAGAAAGCCAGGGUCCUUCUGUGCAAAACUGAUUGGUGCUCAGCCAAUGGGCUCCAGGGCAUUGCAAAUAAAACCACCUUCUCCACCGGGCCCGUUCAGAUGCAGGAUAGUGUGUUGCUUCUGCCUGUGGAACUUUAGGAAAUGCUCAACUCCUGUCCUAGCAAAAUACAUCUGUGGCCAGCUAAGUGAAACCAGCUUUGAAGAUGAAACACCUUCUUCCUCAAUUCCCUUCCAUCUUGGCCAUCUAUUGCUUCUGCAUGCUACAGAUUCCCUCUUCAGGAUCUCCUCGACCUCUAGCUGAUCCCCCAGAUGGCUUGGAUAUCACGCAGCUUGAGGUACGCUGCUGUUCAGUAAUGUGAGAUUUUUAUUUAGUCUUGGCCUUGAAAAUAUCAUGUGGAUAGUGUUCACUUGAAACUAUUUUAAGAUCAGAUUCUUGGCUGCAGCAGGAACUCAUGUUGCCAUUUUCAUGGCCUCAUUUAAAGCAUCACGAGAGUUGUGUUGAAAUUCACUGCCACUGUGUGAGAAGAUAAUGGAAGGUUCAUAAAUGGGACAACUUUAGUAUUUUACAUAUGUUUUAAUAGAUUGCUAUUGACUGAUUUGUACCGAUCUUUGAUUCAUUGUUCAUAUUUUUCUUUAGCGACUGGCAUAUUGGGCCACUCUUUCUAAGCAACCUAAGGUAAAAAAAAAUAUAUACAUAUAAUAAUUCAUUUAUUUUUAUUUUUUUAAAGAUUUAUUUAUUUAUUUGAGAGAGAGAGAGGAGUAAG